GGGCAUGCGUGGCAUUAGUUAGUCGGUGAGGUAACGGCUCACCAAGGCAAUGAUGCCUAGGGGUCCUGAGAGGGUUUCCCCCACACUGGUACUGAGACACGGACCAGACUCCUACGGGAGGCAGCAGUAAGGAAUAUUGGGCAAUAGGCGCAAGCCUGACCCAGCCAUGCCGCGUGCAGGAUGACGGCCCUAUGGGUUGUAAACUGCUUUUGUAUGGGAAAAAACUCCCGCACGUGUGCGGGACUGAUUGUACCAUACGAAUAAGCAUCGGCUAACUCCGUGCCAGCAGCCGCGGUAAUACGGAGGAUGCAAGCGUUAUCCGGAUUUAUUGGGUUUAAAGGGUGCGCAGGCGGAUUAGUAAGUCAGUGGUGAAAGCUCCCGGCUCAACCGGGAAAAUGCCAUUGAUACUGUUAAUCUUGAGUACAGUUGAGGUUGGCGGAAUGUAUCAUGUAGCGGUGAAAUGCAUAGAUAUGAUACAGAACACCGAUAGCGAAGGCAGCUUACCAAACUGUAACUGACGCUCAUGCACGAAAGCGUGGGGAGCAAACAGGAUUAGAUACCCUGGUAGUCCACGCUGUAAACUAUGAUCACUCGCUGUUGGCGAUACACUGUCAGCGGCUUAGCGAAAGUGUUAAGUGAUCCACCUGGGGAGUACGAUCGCAAGGUUGAAACUCAAAGGAAUUGACGGGGGCCCGCACAAGCGGAGGAGCAUGUGGUUCAAUUCGAUGAUACGCGAGGAACCUUACCUGGGCUUAAAUGCAGCACGACCUCCCGAGAAAUCGGGACUUCCUUCGGGACGGACUGCAAGGUGCUGCAUGGUUGUCGUCAGCUCGUGCCGUGAGGUGUCGGGUUAAGUCCCAUAACGAGCGCAACCCUUAUCCUUAGUUGCCAACAGGUAAUGCUGGGAACUCUAAGGAAACUGCCUACGCAAGUAGUGAGGAAGGUGGGGAUGACGUCAAAUCAGCACGGCCCUUAUGUCCAGGGCUACACACGUGCUACAAUGGUCGGUACAGAGGGCAGCUACCUGGCAACAGGAUGCUAAUCUCGAAAGCCGAUCUCAGUUCGGAUUGGAGUCUGCAACUCGACUCCAUGAAGUUGGAUUCGCUAGUAAUCGCGCAUCA
rnacentral:rRNA from 1 species